UAAUUAUAAUUGAUGUGCGAAUAGCUGC
rnacentral:sRNA from 1 species